GAUUGGUAGCAGCGGAGGUAGUGAGAAGUGGUUGGAUGUGGGAUAUAUUUUGAAGAGGAAGCCAACAAGAUUCGGAUGUGAAAAAAGAAAAAAAGAAAGAGGAGUCCAGAAAGACUCGAAAGGUUUUGAAUAGAGUCACCAUCGACGGAUGGGGUGCAGACUGGGAGUGGAGCCAACUUCAAAGGGAAGAACAGAAGUCCAAGUUUGGACUUGUUAAGUUUGAUAUAUGAAGCAGGCAGCUGGAUAAAGCUCUGGAGUUCAGGAGAGAAAUCUGAGCUGGAGGUGCACAUUUGGCAGCUUCUGAUGAUAUUUAAGGCUAUGAAACCAGGUGAGAUCACCAAGAAGGUCUUUUUAGAGAUUAUAAUAUCAUCUCCAUUAUAGAAGAAACUGUGCAGGCCAGACACAGUGGCUCACGCCUGUAAUCCCAACACUUUGGGAGGCCGAGGAGGGCAGAUCACUUGAGGUCAGGAGUUUGAGACCAGCCUGGCCAACAUGGUGAAACCUUGUCUCUACUAAAAACACAAAAAUUAGCCAGGCGUCUUGGCAUGCGCCUGUAAUCCCAGCUACUCGGGAGGCUGAGUCAGGAGAAUCGCUUGAACCUGGAAGGUGGAGGUUGCAGUGAGCUGAGAAUGCCACUGGACUCCAGCCUGGGUGACAGAUCGAGAUUUCAUCUCGGAAAAAAAGAAAGAAGAAAGAAAAGAAGAGAGAGAGAGAGAAAGAAAGAAAAAGAAAGAAAGAAGAAAAAGAAAGAAGGAAGGAAGGAAAGAAAAAGAAAGAAAGAAAGAAAGAACGAAAGAAAGAAAGAAAGAAAGAAAGAAAGAAAGAAAGAAAGAAAGAAAGAAAGAAAGAAAGAAAGAGAAAGAAAGAAAAGAGCAAAAGAGGCCUUCUCAAAUUGAUAUAUGUUUUAGGAUCUUCACUCCCAUCCUUCUCAAAAUGCUACCAUUUAUCUCAGCAAGAGCACCUUGUGAAGCAUAAGCACAGCAACCUUUGCCACUUAUACCCAAGACCUUGCAGCUCUUAGCAUCCAAUGUCUUACUUCCAAUAAUACUGUACGAUGGGGAAAGGCAGUGAGUUGGUAUGUGGGUGCUGUGGGUGUGAGGAAGAUAAAGACAGAGGAGGAAGCAUGUCUUAAAAGUCAGAUAUAACUCCAGUGACUAAUUUUGACUGUAAUUUUGGUGUUUUGUGCUAAUAACAAAGGCUAACUUCAAACCCAAAGGUGCAUGUGUGUUUGUUUGUUUUUAAGACUUUUCUUUUUUGGAGAGGUGAGAACAGCAGGAAUUUUUUGCUAUUUUGCUCUUUAUUCAAACUAUACCUAAGCCAUAUCAUGGUAUCUAAAUCACUGGUAAUAUCCUGAAACUUGCAUUUUAAAAAUCUGAUUUAAUUUAAAUAGCUCUGAAAAUAUCCUCCAAAAGAGAUAACAUUUAUUGCACCCACAAUCAUAGUAAAGAUCAUCUCUAAGUAAAAAGAACAUGUUCUAUCUUAUGCCUUUCACUGACACAGAUCAUUCCUCACCUAGCUGUAUAAGUAGUUUCCUUGUGCAAGAAUAAAUGUUGAAAUUAUGUUUAAUAUACUAUGGAAAAGAAUGUAUUGCUAAUCUCUGUGUGAAACUUAUGUCUGUGUUAGCAACAUUCCAAUUGUAAUAUAAUAUAGCAGAAUGGUUAAGAACACUAGUUUUGAGACCUGCAAUGACAGUGAUGGCCCAGGAAGUGCCGAUGAAGGGGGAGGCAUGCCCUCCUGAGUUCAUCUGGGCACUGGAGAGACAGGUACUGCGCAGGGUUGGGUCUAGGAUGUGGCAGAAAGACAGAACAUGAGGAGGAUGCAGGGCCUCCUGCUCCCAUGCAGCGCUGGCUACCAUGGGGGCAACAAUGCCUCCAUGCAGCAGAAAAAGUACUGCAGGGAAAGCUGCAUCCUCAGGCCCUGGUGACCUGCAAGUUGGAGAAGUUCCAGGACCAAACAACCCAAUGCACCUGCAACAACACAGUCAAAGAGUUGAUGGAUACGGGGAGCAAGAGUGUGGAUGAGCACAUAAACCAUAUCUAUGAUCAAAAAUAUAAAGGGUUCCCUCUCAUCCACUGGAAAAUAAGGAUCUUUGCCCAUGACCAUCAGGGUUAAGAACAAGAACUAUUUAAAAGAAUGAAAUAUUUUGUCUUUUAAGAAAAAUUAAGGAAUGAAGCAAUCAAGAAUUGUAUUAAGUUCAAAUAAUACGUUAACUUGCCACUGGACAUUUGGCUCCAUCUUACAUUUUGAUCCAUAGGAAUAGAAAUUGAAGAAAGUGAUGAUAAAUUUUGGGUCAGAGCCUGGGCACAGUGGCUCACACCUAUAAUUCCAGCAAUUUGGGAGGCCCAGGCAGGCAGAUCACUUGAGGUCUGGAGUUCGAGACCAGCCUGGACAAUAUGGUGAAACCUGACUCUACUAAAAAUAGAAAAAUUAGCUGGGCAUGGUGGCGGGUGCCUGUAGUCCCAGCUACUCAAGAGGCUGAGGCAGGAAACUCGCUUGAACCCCGGAGGCAGAGGUUGAAGUGAGCCAAGAUGGUGCCACUGCACUUCAGCCUGGGCGAUGGAGUGAAAGUCUGUCUCUAAUAAAUAAAUAAAUAAAUAAAUUUUGAGUCAGUAGUAGUGCAAGAUUUUUCUAGAGCCAGAUUUCAUGCAGUAAGAGCUUAUUUUAGCAGUAUGGGUUUCCCCUGUCACACCAAGCCAGAGC
rnacentral:lncRNA from 1 species